rnacentral:lncRNA from 1 species
GCUUAGCCAUUUCAUCGAGAAGAAGGAGACGAGAAUCGACUGCGAGUCUAGGAUAUCACUUAUCAGUCUGCGAUUCUAGACGAGAAUCGACUGCUUAGGAUAUCAGUCUACGUCUCUACGAGUUACGACUUACGAGUUACGAUCAGUCGACAUUCGAGCUCGAGUCUCAUCUCAUCUUCACCGGUUAACUUCACUACUUUUGUAAGUUUUGUAAGUCUCGUCUCAUUCUCAUGAUCUCAUCCCAGUACUCGACUACUCUCUGAGGUUUUAUUUGAGUUUUUACAUUUUUAAGUUUUGAACUUUUUGAGUUCAGAGUUCGCAUAAAUUUUUUAAUUUCUGAUUUUCUGCAUCAAACUAAUUUAGGGUUAUAGGAGGCGAUUUCCAGCUCGAUUUGAUUCCUCACUCCUCAAUUUCAGAGGUUUGUUGUUUCGCUUUCUUUUGGUUGUACUGCUGAUUGAAUGAACUGUUGUUUCGAGC